rnacentral:rRNA from 1 species
UAGGGAAUCUUCCACAAUGGGCGCAAGCCUGAUGGAGCAACACCGCGUGAGUGAAGAAGGGUUUCGGCUCGUAAAGCUCUGUUGCUAAGAAGAACACGUAUGAGAGUAACUGUUCAUACGUUGGCGGUAUUUAACCAGAAAGUCACGGCUAACUACGUGCCAG